ACCCAAUAGAUACCCGGGUAGUCCACGCCCUAAACGAUGUCAACUGGUUGUUGGGGGAGUGAAAUCCCUUAGUAAACGAAAGCUAAACGCGUGAAAGUUGACCGCCUGGGGAGUACGGUCGCAAGAUUAAAACUCAAAGGAAUUGACGGGGACCCGCACAAGCGGUGGAUGAUGUGGAUUAAUUCGAUGCAACGCGAAAAAACCUUACCUACCCUUGACAUGUCCAGAACCCUGAAGAGAUUUGGGGGUGCCCGAAAGGGAAUUGGAACACAGGUGCUGCAUGGCUGUCGUCAGCUCGUGUCGUGAGAUGUUGGGUUAAGUCCCGCAACGAGCGCAACCCUUAUCAUUAGUUGCUACGCAAGGGCACUCUAAUGAGACUGCCGGUGACAAACCGGAGGAAGGUGGGAUGACGUCAAGUCCUCAUGGCCCUUAUGGGUAGGGCUUCACACGUCAUACAAUGGUCGGUACAGAGGUUGCCAAGCCGCGAGGUGGAGCCAAUCCCAGAAACGCCGAUCGUAGUCCGGAUUAUUCUCUGCAACUCGAGAGCAUGAA
rnacentral:rRNA from 1 species